rnacentral:rRNA from 1 species
UACGGGGGGGGCAAGCGUUGUUCGGAAUUACUGGGCGUAAAGGGUUCGUAGGUGGCUUGCUUAGUCAGACGUGAAAUCCCUCAGCUUAACUCGGGGAACUGCGUCUGAUACUGGCGAGCUUGAGUGCAGGAGGAGGAACGCGGAAUUCCAGGUGUAGCGGUGAAUGCGUAGAUAUCUGGAGGAACACCGGUGGCGAAGGCAGGUCUCUGGGCUGACACUGACGCUCAUGCACGAAAGGCGUGGGGAGCAAACAGGAUAGAA